AUACGUAGGGUGCGAGCGUUGUCCGGAAUUACUGGGCGUAAAGAGCUCGUAGGUGGUUUGUCGCGUCGUCUGUGAAAUUCCGGGGCUUAACUCCGGGCGUGCAGGCGAUACGGGCAUAACUUGAGUACUGUAGGGGAGACUGGAAUUCCUGGUGUAGCGGUGAAAUGCGCAGAUAUCAGGAGGAACACCGGUGGCGAAGGCGGGUCUCUGGGCAGUAACUGACGUUGAGGAGCGAAAGCAUGGGUAGCGAACAGGAUUAGAUACCCUGGUAGUCCAUGCCGUAAACGGUGGGCGCUAGGUGUAGGGGUCUUCCACGACUUCUGUGCCGUAGCUAACGCAUUAAGCGCCCCGCCUGGGGAGUACGGCCGCAAGGCUAAAACUCAAAGGAAUUGACGGGG
rnacentral:rRNA from 1 species